AUUGGCUACAGAAGACCUAAGAUACACUAAUUUUCUAGCUAUUAGGAAAACAAAUCUCAAUCUCUCUUUCUCCAUCCCCCUUCUCUCUCUCACACAGCCUUCCUACAGAUUCUUCUUCAGUGUUAUGCUUCUGCAUUUUGUCCCUUGAAUGAGAUGAGUACCGUACCCUUUGUUUUGCUCAGAAAGGAGGAACCAUGUAUUUGGUCAGCACUCAACAAAUAAUAAGUCAUGAUGACAAGUACUGAAUCCAAUUUGAAACUGUAGGGGGAUAUUUAAGUGGCCCCAAAUGUCUGCAUUCUAGGAGUUAAUUCCAUUUGUGGGAGAGCUGCAAUUCCAGAUUUUUAUGUUCACAAAAUAAUUCAAAUUAUUGUCUUCUAUUUUUAACUUCUGGAUGGGCCGAAGAGAUUUUCACACGGAAGAUUACAGCCAUGGCUUUCACCAAGCUGAAAAACAAGCUUUAAUGUGAUGAUCCACACAAGACCAAACCUGAUGAGAAAAUGUAGGGUGUUGCUAUGGCAAUUCCAUUCGUUGGAACUUUUCUCUGUUGGCUUCACUCUGUCAUUACAUUCUAAAAAGAAUCGUAUGAAAAGGUGUGGUGGCUGUGAAGACAAACGUGAGGCCGAGAAGAUGGAGCUUUCUCAUCUGUCCUUCCCCAAAAGAGACAAUAUCGUCACAUUAGUUACAAAGGUGGAGAAGACAUAAUCUUGAGAUUCCAGAAGCUUAUCUCGUGGAGGAGGUAACACAUAACCAAAUACCUAUGGACACAGUAGAUGGUAAAUGAGCUCUGACUGACAGCAGAGUCUUAAAAAAGGAAUCUCUCAUCUGGCUUCAUACAAAGUGUGGAAUCACUACUGAGGUUCUGAAAAAUGCAUGAUUUUAACAAUACAUUUCUUUCAGAAAGUGUUCCUGGUACUGAUCUGAUUUUCCAAGGAAUCUAUGACUCGAAACUAGAUCAGGAUGCCUGCUUUCAAGUUCAUCAGAUUUCUGGUUGCUCAGUCAUCAAGGUCCUGUUAAGGUGUCAGGGACGUCACUUACCACUUAUGAAUGCAAACCAACCGAUUGUGUUCCUUAUCUGCUGAGUAGUAUUUACAAGAGGGGUAGAUUUUGAGACUGAAUUUCCUGAGAAAGUUGAUAUUUUCAUAGAAAUGGAAUAAAUCCCAUUCAUCUACAGUGAAAAGUUGGUUUCUACUCAUUACUAAAAUUCCCGUGGAAAACAAAAGGAGGAAUGGAUGGUGAAGUCACAGGUACCUUUUACUUUCUCUUAAUCGUACGUUUGCCCUACAAAGACCUUUAUUAGUAAUCUGUUCUUCAGGAUUUAUCACAAAAUCUCCUGCUUCUGUAGGUAGGGGAUUUUCUCAAUUCCUGGACUAUUUAUGUGAUAAAUGAGCAUGAACCUCUCCGUGACAUGUCUAUUAUCGAAUUGAACUGUUAUUUAAAUCUUGCAUUGCCAUUUAAUUUCUCAUUUAUGUAUGUUUUAUCUCUGCAACUGAAUUGUAAGGUUUGGGAAGGUCAUAGAACAUAUAUCCUAUUUUCUAUUCUGCCCACGUGUCUUUCAUAGUCUUUGGUAGGUACUCAAUAAAUAUUGAUGGAUAGGAUAAGAUUCAGCUGAAAAUACCAAACCUGGGCCUUGCCUGUCAGCUCUCGGUUCAGUUCUAUGACUUGCAAAUUUAAUUUUGAGUGAGUACAAAGUACUCACUUACUCUGCAAAAUAAAAAACUGUGCAUAUUUGAAAAGAAUCUAUCUUCUGCUGGUGACAUCAAAAUUCUAGAUUUUCUUUCUCUCUGAAAGGCCCAAAUAAUUUGCACAUUUCUACUACAUUAAUUUACAAGAACUGUAAUUUUAAAGCAACAUUUCAAAUACACAUACCCUGCAAAUAUGUUUUAAAAUAGGACAUCUCUGCUUAGUUAGGACAGGUUUUACACUACAGGGAAUUAGUGAAUUUUACAUGAGAAUUAUGAACCCAUCAGUGUUAAGUACCAACAGCCUCCUAAUUUGAAUUAAUAUUCAAUAAAAAUUACAUCCAGAAGACAGAUGAAAUUUUUUAAUUAGUUUGUUUGCAUUAUAUGGGUAAAAGCUAAAGGUAAAACCAAAUAGUAUUAGGGCAGGGCUGAGUCUUUUCCGUUUACUGAAGAAAAAAUAGUCUGUUUCAAAUAAAUAGUCAAUUUGCUAAAUGCUUACUUUAUGUCCAACUGGCAAAUUACCUUAACAAUUAGGUAUUUUCUUACUAAUGUAGAGGAGCAUUCAGGCAAGAACUUUCAAGUACAACAUACCAAUAUAGCAUUGUGCCAUAGUUCUGUAAGGCAGCUGCCAUACUGUAUCAGGUGAGGCAUUUAAUCCCAGCAGACAGGAAAAAAAUAUAUUGUGUCCAAUCAAAGAGUGAUAAAUUUGUUCUUACAGUAUCAUUUUAACAUUUUCAAGCCAAAUAAUAUUAUGCAAUCAAAGAUAUCAAAUUGGCGUAAACCAUUCAUUUACAGGAACUGAAAUAGGAAACUAGAAUUAGAGACUUGAAAAACAGAAACUUUAUACUCAACAGCCUUAAGUAUGCCUUUUCCUUCUCUUUCUCUGCAAGAAAAAAGCUUUACAACAGCAUCCUACCUU